ensembl:snRNA U4 U4 spliceosomal RNA
AGCUUUGUGCAGUGGCAGUAUUGUAGCCAAUGAGGUUUAUCCGAGGUGCGAUUAUUGCUAAUUGAAAAUUUUUCCCAAUACCCCACCAUAAUGACUUGAAAUAUAGUUGGCAUUGGCAAUUUUUGACAGUCUCUAUGGAGA